UUACACAUGCAGUCGAACGGUGAACACGGAGCUUGCUCUGUGGGAUCAGUGGCGAACGGGUGAGUAACACGUGAGCAACCUGCCCCUGACUCUGGGAUAAGCGCUGGAAACGGCGUCUAAUACUGGAUAUGUGACGUGACCGCAUGGUCUGCGUCUGGAAAGAAUUUCGGUUGGGGAUGGGCUCGCGGCCUAUCAGCUUGUUGGUGAGGUAAUGGCUCACCAAGGCGUCGACGGGUAGCCGGCCUGAGAGGGUGACCGGCCACACUGGGACUGAGACACGGCCAGACUCCUACGGGAGGCAGCAGUGGGGAAUAUUGCACAAUGGGCGCAAGCCUGAUGCAGCAACGCCGCGUGAGGGACGACGGCCUUCGGGUUGUAAACCUCUUAGCAGGAAGAAGCGAAAGUGACGGUACCUGCAGAAAAAGCGCCGGCUAACUACGUGCCACAGCCAGCGGUCAUACGUAGGCGCAAGCGUUCUCCGGAAUUAUUGGGCGU
rnacentral:rRNA from 2 species